CACGUAGGGCGCAAGCGUUGUCCGGAAUUAUUGGGCGUAAAGAGCUCGUAGGCGGUCUGUUGCGUCUGCUGUGAAAACCCGGGGCUUAACCCCUGGCUUGCAGUGGAUACGGACAGACUAGAGGUAGGUAGGGGAGAAUGGAAUUCCCGGUGUAGCGGUGAAAUGCGCAGAUAUCGGGAGGAACACCGGUGGCGAAGGCGGUUCUCCGGGCCUUACCUGACGCUGAGGAGCGAAAGCGUGGGGAGCGAACAGG
rnacentral:rRNA from 1 species